rnacentral:rRNA from 1 species
GCAAGAGGUUACGAAAGACCUUGUGCUUUUGGAGCGGCUGAUGCCUGAUUAGCUAGUUGGUGGGGUAAAGGCCUACCAAGGCGACGAUCAGUAGUUGGUCUGAGAGGACGACCAGCCACACUGGGACUGAGACACGGCCCAGACUCCUACGGGAGGCAGCAGUGGGGAAUUUUGGACAAUGGGCGCAAGCCUGAUUUCUUAUGCCGCGUGAGUGAAGAAGGCCUUCGGGUUGUAAAGCUCUUUCAGUCGAGAAGAAAAGGUUGCGACUAAUAAUCGCAACUCAUGACGGUAUCGACAGAAGAAGCACCGGCUAACUACGUGCCAGCAGCCGCGUGAAUACGUAGGGUGCGAGCGUUAAUCGGAAUUACUGGGCGUAAAGGGUGCGCAGCCGGCUUUGUUAGUCAGAUGUGAAAUCCCCGGGCUUAACCUGGGAAUUGCGUUUGAAACUACAAUGCUAGA